rnacentral:rRNA from 1 species
UACAGAGGGUGCGAGCGUUGUCCGGAAUCACUAGGCGUAAAGGGCGCGUAGGCGGCUUGAUAAGCGUGCGGUGAAAGCCCGGGGCUCAACCCCGGGUCGGCCGUGCGAACUGUCGAGCUGGAGCACUGUAGAGGCAGGUGGAAUUCCGGGUGUAGCGGUGGAAUGCGUAGAGAUCCGGAAGAACACCGGUGGCGAAGGCGGCCUGCUGGGCAGUGGCUGACGCUGAGGCGCGACAGCGUGGGGAGCAAACAGG